rnacentral:rRNA from 1 species
AUUGAACGCUGGCGGCAUGCCUUACACAUGCAAGUCGAACGGUAACAGGUCUUCGGAUGCUGACGAGUGGCGAACGGGUGAGUAAUACAUCGGAACGUGCCUAGUAGUGGGGGAUAACUACUCGAAAGAGUGGCUAAUACCGCAUGAGAUCUACGGAUGAAAGCAGGGGAUCGCAAGACCUUGUGCUACUAGAGCGGCCGAUGGCAGAUUAGGUAGUUGGUGGGAUAAAAGCUUACCAAGCCGACGAUCUGUAGCUGGUCUGAGAGGACGAUCAGCCACACUGGGACUGCGACACGGCCCAGGCUCCUACGGGAGGCAGCAGUGGGGAAAUUUGGACAAUGGGCGAAAGCCUGAUCCAGCAAUGCCGCGUGCAGGAUGAAGGCCUUCGGGUUGUAAACUGCUUUUGUACGGAACGAAAAGCCCCGGGUUAAUACCCUGGGGUCAUGACGGUACCGUAAGAAUAAGCACCGGCUAACUACGUGCCAGCAGCCGCAGUAA